GACGAACGCUGGCGGCGUGCCUAAUACAUGCAAGUAGAACGCUGAAGCUUGGUGCUUGCACCGAGCGGAUGAGUUGCGAACGGGUGAGUAACGCGUAGGUAACCUGCCUGGUAGCGGGGGAUAACUAUUGGAAACGAUAGCUAAUACCGCAUAAGAGUAGAUGUUGCAUGACAUUUGCUUAAAAGGUGCAAUUGCAUCACUACCAGAUGGACCUGCGUUGUAUUAGCUAGUUGGUGAGGUAACGGCUCACCAAGGCAACGAUACAUAGCCGACCUGAGAGGGUGAUCGGCCACACUGGGACUGAGACACGGCCCAGACUCCUACGGGAGGCAGCAGUAGGGAAUCUUCGGCAAUGGACGGAAGUCUGACCGAGCAACGCCGCGGGAGUGAAGAAGGUUGUCGGAUCGUAAAGCUCUGUUGUAAGAGAAGAACGAGUGUGAGAGUGGAAAGUUCACACUGUGACGGUAUCUUACCAGAAAGGGACGGCUAACUACGUG
rnacentral:rRNA from 1 species